rnacentral:rRNA from 1 species
GAGUUUGAUCCUGGCUCAGGAUGAACGCUGGCGGCGUGCCUAAUACAUGCAAGUCGAGCGAACAGAUAAGGAGCUUGCUCCUUUGACGUUAGCGGCGGACGGGUGAGUAACACGUGGGUAACCUACCUAUAAGACUGGAAUAACUCCGGGAAACCGGGGCUAAUGCCGGAUAACAUUUAGAACCGCAUGGUUCUAAAGUAAAAGAUGGUUUUGCUAUCACUUAUAGAUGGACCCGCGCCGUAUUAGCUAGUUGGUAAGGUAACGGCUUACCAAGGCAACGAUACGUAGCCGACCUGAGAGGGUGAUCGGCCACACUGGAACUGAGACACGGUCCAGACUCCUACGGGAGGCAGCAGUAGGGAAUCUUCCGCAAUGGGCGAAAGCCUGACGGAGCAACGCCGCGUGAGUGAUGAAGGUCUUCGGAUCGUAAAACUCUGUUAUUAGGGAAGAACAAAUGUGUAAGUAACUGUGCACGUCUUGACGGUACCUAAUCAGAAAGCCACGGCUAACUACGUGCCAGCAGCCGCGGUAAUACGUAGGUGGCAAGCGUUAUCCGGAAUUAUUGGGCGUAAAGCGCGCGUA